GGGGGUGUGAUGAAAUGGUAGACAUAACAGACUUAAAAUCUGUUGAUCGCAUAGCUCGUGAGGGUUCGAAUCCCUCCACCCCCA
rnacentral:tRNA from 1 species